AAAAGCAGUGAAUAUACUGGAAGAACUCUGGCUCAGUGAAUUUGCCAAUGAGAAUCAGCAAGGCCUAAGAUGAAUUUUUUGAAGUGAUCAUUCGGUUAUUUAUAUAACUGUGUGAACAAACAGAUAUUCUUAACAAUGCGGGGUCCCCAAAUGCUCCCAUCAGUGGGUUUCUUGAAGAACUUUAUUUUUUCAAACCACAAUUCUUUCAAUAAAUAAAUUUCUGUAAUCUAUGGAAACCCGGGGUAAGAGAGGUGGCGUAGAUAGGUGAUACAGACGCCUCUGAACCAGCCCCUCUCAGCUGUUCAAUAUGUUUAAUUUUAGGUGGGGCUAUAGGAGGGAGGAAAGAAGGGAGUGACAGAGUGAGGCCCCAUCUCAAAAAAAGAAAGUGAAAACAAUCCUGAAUUGGUGGUUUACAUCUUCUUGUUGGAAUUCUUACAUAAAAAAACACAACCUGCUUGAUUUGAUUAUUGACAAAAAGGGCGAUGUUAACAGGAAUAAGUGACUUAUUUUGAAAAUCUCUUAGGGAAUAAGAAGGUUCUACUUAACAAGUGUAACUCAGAAUGCACCAGUAGUGCCGUGGGUUUUACAGAAGAAACUGGAACUGAUUUUUCACAGCAGUUCUUUAAAUAAGCGGGGAUGGGGAGUGGCAGCAGAGCAACCCCAGGAACAGCAAGUGGGGUUUGUUCACUGAAGACUGUGACAGAUUUUAGUGAUCACCACCGCCUGGGAGUUUGCCCACUGGGAUUUUAUUUUUCUUUUUUGGGGGUCUAGAAUCCAGCAGAAAGGCUAUUCAAUCUUUCUGCUGCCAUAAGAAAAAAACAUGCUGGGUCUAUCACCAGAUGGCCUCUGAAUGGGCUAGGACACUGCUGAGACUGGCCUAGCUAUGAACACUGUUGUGUUCUACACCCCACAAGGUCUUUCCAGACAAGUGUGCAAGUAACUAGAGAAAGAGGAAAACAUGCACAGGUGCUUUGAAUCAUGUAAACUGCCGAAUACUAAGGUACCUGAUCCUUUACAAGAAUGGACAUUCACAAUGUUUUAGCUCCUGAGCAGCCUCUCAGGCCUCUCGUGCCUGGAGACGAGGGCAGGUGAAGACAACCCUAACCCAAGACACUGGCUCCCUGUGGUCUGUGCUCUGCAAAUAAAGCUGGUGGAAACAUCACAGAUGACGAGUCGUGGGAGAAAAGGCGAGGGGCACAGCUGAGAUCCAUUUUCAAUAUCUGAGUAAUACUCUUGCCUUGGCUCCUUAGUAGAAAGGCUGCAAAGAGAUGGUCACCUGCUGGUGAUUAUUUAGGGGAAGAUCAGAGGUAAGAUGUGAGCCUUCCUCUGAGAGGCUUACCCUGGAAGUGUUUCCUUCUAGGAGUGCUUGAAAAACAUACAGCUUAUGCAUCAAAUUCUAAGCAAUAGUCAUAAGGACCCUCUGGAGUCCAGCCAAGAACCAGGAUUCAGGAAGCAAAGGUUCUGGAUGUCCAACUGGAUGUCAGAGCUUCCCAAGAGCUUCACUUCCCCAAGGGCCUGCCCACUCUCACCUAUUUCCAGGACUGGCCUUUUGGCCGAGUAUAGGGAUUCCCAUUCCCUGACAGAUCAGAAAUCACCAACUAGUACCCGGUUGGUUGGGGGCACAUGCGCUGGAGCCAGAAAUGUGACUUUGGCCUGUGAAAGAGGGAGGGGAAUGCUAAGAAUUCAAAAAGUCUGGAAGGAAACUGGGUCCCACAGUCACCCAACAGAUCCCAAGGGCCCCACUGGCCAAGCACCCAGGACAACAGCUGCUGCUUACUGCGAUGGGCUGCAUCUGAGUGUGCUCCUAAGAUGGGGUGUGUGUGCGCAACAUAUCUCUGGGGGAUUUCCACUAGACAGAAUGGGAUGAUUCAGUUAUCUGGACAUUUUGAAAGAAUUGCUUAAUCCCUGAUAAUGAGCAAAGUGUUUUUCUACUGUGCAGAUACUUUGAUGUCAGAAUAACUGAUAUUACCACUUUCAGUGUGGUCCAGAGGGCACACUGUCUUUCAUGUACACUGCAUAAACGUUUCCACUGGACAGCAGGCGUUUCUCCCACAGAAGCGCUCUUCUGAAAAGUCCUGCAUCAACACCUGCACCACCAGCUGGGGAACUCCAGGGAGCCCGAACAACUACUAUGGGAUGUGCCCUGACUUGGGCCUGGGACUGGCACCAAGCAGAGAACCUCAUUUCCUGGGUCAGAGGGGGCAGGAAUUAGCUGCUGGCCUCCUGCCCUGCCUAGAGAGGAAGCCUAGUGCUCAGCUGGCAAGUUCCUCUGACACUAGGCAGAGGAAAAGUGUGAAGCUGCAGUACCUCCCUCUCCCAGGCCCUGAGAGGUGGGGAUUAAUGUGUCUCCUGGACAAGCCCUGAGCUCCUGAGAUGCCAUCAUUCUCUUUAACCAAUCUCACCCUUCCUGCUCUGUGUGGCCUGUUAGCCAGGGGCCACCCUCAAGUCUAAUGGGUGCAAAGAGGAAGCAAGGCCUACAUUCCUCACCUGCUGGGUCUCCGUGACAGACUGAUCUCACAAUCAGAGAUUCUAUAAAUUAAGAAAAACAAACUAAACCCAGUAGAUGGCAGAUGGGGGAAUCCAGAGGUCUAAGGAAGCUGGCAGUUAAGUUUGAGAGUGUUAGGCAGGCAGCAAAUGAAACUAGACAGACAUUUAUUUUGUGUUUGAUUUCACUGGUUCAAAUGUCUACAUGCUGGAGUAAAUCCACU
rnacentral:lncRNA from 10 species